AACCAGUGCAUGCAAGCCCUUGUGCUGCCCUGGUGCCGAAACUGCGCAAGAGCCGUGCUGCUGCCGGUGAUGGGUGGCGGUGCUUUACGCUGCUGUGCAUGUACGUGCGCGCGGUGUGUCAGCGCACGCACCAGCCGCGCGCAGUUGAUGUUGGUUGCGCAUGCGGCCUUGUCGUGACGCGAGAGACGCCAGCGCCGCUGUGGCGUGGCGCGUGUGUCUGUGUGUGCUGCGACCAGCGUGCUCCGUGGGUGAGGCCGCGGACUCUACUACCCUUGGUGCCGUACACUGCGCCUCAAUCGGGCUCGCGAGAGCUGCUGCUGUGUGUGCGCUGACCGCUGCAUGAUGCGAAAAUCGAGGCAUUUGUAUGAACCCGCAACUGUGAUUUGAACUCCGUGUACUCAAAGCUACCAACAUACUAUACACGGGACUGAGCGCUGGACGGUCUUCUGCUGCUGGCUGUGGCUGUGGCUGUGUGUGUGUGGUCUGUGUGGUCUGUGUGGUCUGUGUGGCGCGCGCAUGCGUGAUGGCAUUGCGAUUUAAUUAUACACCCGAGGCGCGCACAGCGCCGCGGACGAGAACCGGAGUGACUGACUGUGCGCGCUGCUGCCGCUGCUGCAGGUGCGCGUGCGCUGCGCCAGUCCACCUUCCUCCCAGCCGCACGUGGUGUCGGCUGCGGCUGCCCACUGCUGUGUGCGUGCGCGUGGCUUGAAGGGUGGCCGAGAUGCGAGCGCGCGUGUGUGCGUGUGGAUGGGAACCAGGAGUAGCACCGUUGCGGAACACGACCCAUUGAUCUAUCGGCGGACUUGCUCUUGGGAGACGUGCGGUGCUGUGCCCGCCGCGCAUUCAAGGUCCCUUGGCGGCGAUUAUAUACCCUCGAUGCUGCUUCACA
rnacentral:misc_RNA from 1 species